GUCCGUCCGUCUACCCUUCGUAGACUCAAAAACUACCGGACCGAUUUCAACGGGGUUUUUUUCGCAAAAUGUUUCACGUGGUCCGGGGAAGGUUCGUAGCCGUUGCGAUUUCUAAAAUUCAAAGGAUAGCUGACACAGGGAUUUCGGUGUUUUGUGGUAUAAUUUUUAUCGAUUGGAUUACCUUGGUAACGUAGUAAAUAUCAUUUUUCUAUUGAUUAUGUGGUAUCUAAGGUCAAGACUUAUU